rnacentral:rRNA from 1 species
UACGGAGGGUGCAAGCGUUAUCCGGAUUUACUGGGUUUAAAGGGAGCGUAGGCGGUUUUGUAAGUCCGUGGUGAAAGCCCUCAGCUCAACUGAGGAACUGCCAUGGAUACUAUGGAACUUGAAUAUCGUUGAGGUUUGCGGAAUGGGUCAUGUAGCGGUGAAAUGCAUAGAUAUGACCCGGAACACCAAUUGCGAAGGCAGCAGGCUAAACGAUGAUUGACGCUGAGGCUCGAAAGCGUGGGGAUCAAACAGGAUUAGAUACCCUGGUAGUCCACGCCCUAAACGAUGAUUACUCGACAUACGUGAUAUGACAAUGUGUGUCUGAGCGAAAGCAUUAAGUAAUCCACCUGGGAAGUACGACCGCAAGGUUGAA